rnacentral:rRNA from 1 species
GCAAGUCGAGCGGUAACAGAGAGUGCUUGCACUCUGCUGACGAGCGGCGGACGGGUGAGUAACGCGUAGGAAUCUACCUUUUAGUUGGGGAUAGCCAGUAGAAAUGCUGAUUAAUACCGAAUACGGUCUACGGACGAAAGGGGGCUUCGGCUCUCGCUGAAAGAGGAGUCUGCGUUGGAUUAGCUUGUUGGUGAGGUAAAAGCUCACCAAGGCGACGAUCAGUAGCUGGUCUGAGAGGAUGAAC